UACGGAGGGCGCGAGCGUUACCCGGAUUUACUGGGCGUAAAGGGCGUGUAGGCGGCCUGGGGCGUCCCAUGUGAAAGGCCACGGCUCAACCGUGGAGGAGCGUGGGAUACGCUCAGGCUAGACGGUGGGAGAGGGUGGUGGAAUUCCCGGAGUAGCGGUGAAAUGCGCAGAUACCGGGAGGAACGCCGAUGGCGAAGGCAGCCACCUGGUCCACCCGUGACGAUGAGGCGCGAAAGAGUGGGGAGCAAACCGG
rnacentral:rRNA from 1 species